CCUACGGGUGGCAGCAGUGGGGAAUAUUGCACAAUGGGCGAAAGCCUGAUGCAGCAACGCCGCGUGAAGGAAGAAGGGUUUCGGCUCGUUAACUUUUAUCAACAGGGACGCAAGAAAUGACGGUACCUGAAUAAGAAGCCCCGGCUAACUACGUGCCCGCAGCCGCGGUAAUACGUAGGGGGCAAGCGUUAUCCGGAAUUACUGGGUGUAAAGGUUGAGUAGGCGGGAUGGUAAGCCAGAUGGGAAAGCCUUGGGCUUAACCCGAGGAUUGCAUUUGAAAUUAGCAAGCUAGAGUACAGGAGAGGAAAGCGGAAUUCGUGGUGUAGCGGUGAAAUGCGUAGAUAUUAGGAAGAACACCAGUGGCGAAGGCGGCUUUCUGGACUGAAACUGACGCUGAGGCACGAAAGCGUGGGGAGCGAACAGGAUUAGAUACCCUAGUAGUC
rnacentral:rRNA from 1 species